rnacentral:rRNA from 1 species
UACGUAGGGGGCAAGCGUUGUCCGGAAUUAUUGGGCGUAAAGAGCUCGUAGGCGGUUUGUCGCGUCUGCUGUGAAAACGCGAGGCUCAACCUCGCGCCUGCAGUGGGUACGGGCAGACUAGAGUGCGGUAGGGGAGACUGGAAUUCCUGGUGUAGCGGUGAAAUGCGCAGAUAUCAGGAGGAACACCGGUGGCGAAGGCGGGUCUCUGGGCCGUAACUGACGCUGAGGAGCGAAAGCAUGGGGAGCGAACAGG